UAGCCAGGUGGGGGUUGGUCUCUUCUCCCAAGCAACUAUCAGUAAGACAAGAGGGCAUGGUCUUAAGUUCUGCCAGGGGAGGUUUAGGUUGGAUACUAGGAAGAAAUUCUUUAUAGAGAGGGUAAUCAGGCAUUGGAAUGGGCUGCCCAGGGAAGUGGUGGAUUCUCCGUCCUUGGAGGUUUUUAAGAUGAUGUGGCACUUAGUGCCAUGGUCUAGUAACCGCAGUGGUAGUGGAUUAAGGGUUGGACUUGAUGAUCUCAGAGGUCCCUUCCAACCUGGCUGAUUCUAUGAUUCUAUGAUUCUAUGAUUUAACACAGGAAUGUCCUUAGAGAUUCUCAGGAGAUGUCUUGCCAGCUCACUGGCUCCCAUUAGCCUCCAUAGCCUGCGCUUUAAAACAUCUCACAGCUUUAUUAAUGAAGCCAUUUAGCACGUAGCUUGCUGUGUGAUGUAGAAAGUGUAAUUGUUUUAAUUUUACUGAAAAUAUUCACAAAUGCAGGAGGACACACUCAAAUCCAGAAAAUACAGAAGAGUGAUUACCAUGUGUUCUAUAGUAUUGCUGAGGACUCAUGCUGAGGUCAAUGCCACAGAAAAACAAUAAUUAAAAAUGAUGUAACAGAGACAAAAACUGCUACAAAAGUUAUACAACUUUCCUGCAUUCUUGAAAGCAGGGUAAGGAAAAAUGGAUGCCAAUAAACCCCAUAGAAAAUAUGUAGCUGACAUUACUACUGGCAUUGUGAGGAAGAUAAAGCCAAAAAGUAGUCUAGCUUUUGGACAACAGAAGUUCUCAGCCUGCCUCUGAAUGUACCUUUUUAGCCUACUGUAUACCUACAGAUGUGGUUUCUAAGUGUGUUGUUGACUUUUGACCAUCACUUAAUUCAAACUACUGGUCUUGUAAAAGAUUAAAAUGUACACCAUGGUGAAGAGAAAUAAAGUGAAA